rnacentral:rRNA from 1 species
UUAUUUUUUAAUUAUAAAAUAUAUUUAAUUAUUUAUUUUUAUAAAAAUAAUUUGUUUUUUAGUAGGGUUUAUUGAAAAAAUUAUUAUAAUUAUAGUUAAUUUUUCUGUGAAGAAAUUUAUUUAAUAUAAUAUAAGUAAAAUUAGUUUUUUGUACCUUUUGUAUCAGGGUUUAUUAAAUUUAAAUUAAUUAUUUAAUUUUCUCGAAAUUUAAUGAUCUAAAUUAAUAUGUGACAUAUUGUUUCAUAACUAUUUAUAAUAUUAAUUUAGAUGUUAUAUGCUUUCACAUUAAAUUAUAUCUAGUUUUCUAAUAAAUAGAUUUAAUCUAUAAUAUUAAAGUAUAAUUUAAAUUAAAUUAUUAUUUAUUUUAAUAUUAAAUAAAUUAAGGGAUAAGCUUUAAUUUAUUAUUAAAAAUUAACUUUUAAUUAAAAAAUUUAUAGGAUUAAUAACUUUCAUUAUUUAUUUCGUUAUAGUUAUUUUUUUAAUAUUAUGAUUUUUUUAAUGUUUUAAAUUUUUAUUAGAAUUAUAUUAUUAAUCUUUUUUAAUUUUAAUAAUGAUAAAAUUAGUAAUUAAUAUAAUUUAGUUUUAAGAAUUCGGCAAAUUUUAUUUUCCCCUGUUUAUCAAAAACAUGUUCUUUAGAUUAUAUUUUAAGAUUUGGCCUGCCCUAUGAUUUAUAUAUUAAAUGGGUGCGGUAUAUUAACCGUACAAAGGUAGCAUAAUCAAUUGUUUUUUAAUUGAAGGCUAGAAAGAAUGGUUUGAUGAAAAAUAAGCUUUUUUAAAUUAAUUUUUUUGAAUUUAAUUUUUGAUUUAAAAAGAUCAAAUUUUUUUAUGGGACGAGAAGACCCUAUAGAAGUUCAUUAUUAUAUAUAUUAUUUUUUUUUUGUUAUUUAUAUGUAUUAAUAUAUAUAUUAAUUUUGUUGGGGUGACAUAUAAAAUUAAUUAACUUUAUAGUUUUUUUUUCAAAUAUUUUUGUAUUUUUGAUCCAGAUUUUCUGAUUAUCAAAUUAACUUACCUUAGGGAUAACAGCGUAAUUAGUUUGGAGAGUUCAUAUUGAUAAACUAAAUUGCGACCCCGAUGUUGAAUUAAAAUAAAAUAUGGGGGCAUAAUUUCAUAUUUCUAGGUCUGUUCAACCUUUAAAUUCUUACAUGAUUUGAGUUCAAACCGGCGGGAGCCAGGUCGGUUUCUAUCUUUAAAAUUUAUAUAUAGUUUAGUACGAGAGGACCAAUUAUAUUAAUUAUAUUAUUAAUUUUUGAUUAUAAUU